CGAACGAUGAACCACUUCGGUGGGGAUUAGUGGCGAACGGGUGAGUAACACGUGGGCAAUCUGCCCUGCACUCUGGGACAAGCCCUGGAAACGGGGUCUAAUACCGGAUACUGAUCAUCUUGGGCAUCCUUGGUGAUCGAAAGCUCCGGCGGUGCAGGAUGAGCCCGCGGCCUAUCAGCUUGUUGGUGAGGUAAUGGCUCACCAAGGCGACGACGGGUAGCCGGCCUGAGAGGGCGACCGGCCACACUGGGACUGAGACACGGCCCAGACUCCUACGGGAGGCAGCAGUGGGGAAUAUUGCACAAUGGGCGAAAGCCUGAUGCAGCGACGCCGCGUGAGGGAUGACGGCCUUCGGGUUGUAAACCUCUUUCAGCAGGGAAGAAGCGAAAGUGACGGUACCUGCAGAAGAAGCGCCGGCUAACUACGUGCCAGCAGCCGCGGUAAUACGUAGGGCGCGAGCGUUGUCCGGAAUUAUUGGGCGUAAAGAGCUCGUAGGCGGCUUGUCGCGUCGGUUGUGAAAGCCCGGGGCUUAACCCCGGGUCUGCAGUCGAUACGGGCAGGCUAGAGUUCGGUAGGGGAGAUCGGAAUUCCUGGUGUAGCGGUGAAAUGCGCAGAUAUCAGGAGGAACACCGGUGGCGAAGGCGGAUCUCUGGGCCGAUACUGACGCUGAGGAGCGAAAGCGUGGGGAGCGAACAGGAUUAGAUACCCUGGUAGUCCACGCCGUAAACGGUGGGCACUAGGUGUGGGCGACAUUCCACGUCGUCCGUGCCGCAGCUAACGCAUUAAGUGCCCCGCCUGGGGAGUAC
rnacentral:rRNA from 1 species